rnacentral:rRNA from 1 species
UACGUAGGGGGCAAGCGUUGUCCGGAUUUACUGGGCGUAAAGAGCGUGUAGGCGGCCAAGCAGGUCCGUUGUGAAAACUGGAGGCUCAACCUCCAGACGUCGAUGGAAACCGUCUGGCUAGAGUCCGGAAGAGGAGAGUGGAAUUCCUGGUGUAGCGGUGAAAUGCGCAGAUAUCAGGAAGAACACCCGUGGCGAAAGCGGCUCUCUGGGACGGUACUGACGCUGAGACGCGAAAGCGUGGGGAGCGAACAGG